rnacentral:misc_RNA from 1 species
UCAAACUUGGUCAUUUAGAGGAAGUAAAAGUCGUAACAAGGUUUCCGUAGGUGAACCUGCGGAAGGAUCAUUACAGUGCCCGCGGGGCGCGCCUCACCGGCCUCCACCCCGCACACGGCCACCCGUGUCUACCGUACCCUCUGUUGCCUCGGCGGAGCCUGUCGCGCCUUCAGGGGCGUGACUGCCGGGCGGCGCCUAACCCCCGCCGGCCGGAUAGCGCCCGCCAGAGGACCAACCGAACCCUUCUGUGAAUCCAGUGACGUCUGAACGAGAUUUUUGAUAAAAAAAACUUUCAACAACGGAUCUCUUGGUUCCGGCAUCGAUGAAGAACGCAGC